ACGAACGCUGGCGGCGUGCCUAAUACAUGCAAGUAGAACGCUGAAGAGAGGAGCUUGCUCUUCUUGGAUGAGUUGCGAACGGGUGAGUAACGCGUAGGUAACCUGCCUUGUAGCGGGGGAUAACUAUUGGAAACGAUAGCUAAUACCGCAUAACAAUGGAUGACACAUGUCAUUUAUUUGAAAGGGGCAAUUGUUCCACUACAAGAUGGACCUGCGUUGUAUUAGCUAGUAGGUGAGGUAAUGGCUCACCUAGGCGACGAUACAUAGCCGACCUGAGAGGGUGAUCGGCCACACUGGGACUGAGACACGGCCCAGACUCCUACGGGAGGCAGCAGUAGGGAAUCUUCGGCAAUGGGGGCAACCCUGACCGAGCAACGCCGCGUGAGUGAAGAAGGUUUUCGGAUCGUAAAGCUCUGUUGUAAGUCAAGAACGGGUGUGAGAGUGGAAAGUUCACACUGUGACGGUAGCUUACCAGAAAGGGACGGCUAACUACGUGCCAGCAGCCGCGGUAAUACGUAGGUCCCGAGCGUUGUCCGGAUUUAUUGGGCGUAAAGCGAGCGCAGGCGGUUUGAUAAGUCUGAAGUUAAAGGCUGUGGCUCAACCAUAGUUCGCUUUGGAAACUGUCAAACUUGAGUGCAGAAGGGGAGAGUGGAAUUCCAUGUGUAGCGGUGAAAUGCGUAGAUAUAUGGAGGAACACCGGUGGCGAAAGCGGCUCUCUGGUCUGUAACUGACGCUGAGGCUCGAAAGCGUGGGGAGCGAACAGGAUUAGAUACCCUGGUAGUCCACGCCGUAAACGAUGAGUGCUAGGUGUUGGAUCCUUUCCGGGAUUCAGUGCCGCAGCUAACGCAUUAAGCACUCCGCCUGGGGAGUACGACCGCAAGGUUGAAACUCAAAGGAAUUGACGGGGGCCCGCACAAGCGGUGGAGCAUGUGGUUUAAUUCGAAGCAACGCGAAGAACCUUACCAGGUCUUGACAUCGUAUGCAUAGCUCAGAGAUGAGUGAAAUCUCUUCGGAGACAUAUAGACAGGUGGUGCAUGGUUGUCGUCAGCUCGUGUCGUGAGAUGUUGGGUUAAGUCCCGCAACGAGCGCAACCCCUAUUGUUAGUUGCCAUCAUUCAGUUGGGCACUCUAGCGAGACUGCCGGUAAUAAACCGGAGGAAGGUGGGGAUGACGUCAAAUCAUCAUGCCCCUUAUGACCUGGGCUACACACGUGCUACAAUGGUUGGUACAACGAGUUGCGAGUCGGUGACGGCGAGCUAAUCUCUUAAAGCCAAUCUCAGUUCGGAUUGUAGGCUGCAACUCGCCUACAUGAAGUCGGAAUCGCUAGUAAUCGCGGAUCAGAACGCCGCGGUGAAUACGUUCCCGGGCCUUGUACACACCGCCCGUCACACCACGAGAGUUUGUAACACCCGAAGUCGGUGAGGUAACCUUUUGGAGCCAGCCGCCUAAGGUGGGACAGAUGAUUGGGGUG
rnacentral:rRNA from 1 species